ensembl:lncRNA
UGGCGUCAGAUUCUCCUAUGGGUGCAAAGCCUACCAUGAACCGUGAGGCAAGGGGUCAUCCAGGUGGCACGCUCCUUAUGAGAAUCGUCCCUAAACACCCCCCGCCACCCUAACUUGUGGAAAAAAUUUCUUCCAUGAAACUGAUGCCUGGUGCCUAAAAGGUUGGGGACUGCUGGCCUAGUGCAUAUGCUUGAUAAAGGAGGCAGACCUCAGUUUUCCUAUGAAAUUCAUCAUAGGUCAGCUCUGCAAAUACACUUAGUUUCUUUGCACUGCAAAGUCCUCAACUGAAAAUCGGGAUUAAUGUGGUGUCUCUAUCUCAAGAUUAUAGGUAAAGGAUAAGUGAGAUAUGAAGCCGUUAGGGGUCUGAAAAUGUGUAAAAGCCGUGUGACAUUCAGGAGCUUGGUCUGUCGAAGCAUCACUAUGACUCCUUGAAGAAGCUGAGCUAGUGGAAAACCAAAGCAAUUCAAUAGUUGGGCUUGGGGCUGUAAAACAACUUUUUCAGCCCCUGGGUAUUUGAAAAUUCACCCUUAGUCAUUCAUCCUUUAAGACUCCCUCCCCUCACAGCCAAAACCCUGAGAAAUGUUAGACUCUGAAACUCUAUCUAAAUCGAGUCAACUGACUUUAAUGUUAAAUAUUUACUGUAUGCCAAGCACUGUGAAGGUUAUAAGAAUGAGUAAGAAAUAGCUCCUGCCUUCCAGGAAUUUACAGCUUGGUCAAAUCCCUUACAUGAGGCGAAGAAUCUCAAGCAAGUCAUGCCUCUCUGUUUUAUUCACUAACUAACACUACCGGUCUUCUUUCUAGCUCAUCUUGAUCUGUCCGAGUCUCUGCUUUUUCAUACAUUAAAUGAUUCCUGAGUUUCCUUUCUGCAAUGAAGAAUGGCCUAGCCAAGGAAAAAAAUCCUUUCCUGGACUUCUAAGACAGGACCAAAAUAAAUUACUCUUAUCUAUUGAAAGAGACAUAAAUAAACUUGUGGUUAUUGUGUUCUCAAUUUAUGGAUGGUUUUUGUUUUAAAAGUUUCCACAUACCUUUAUCUUCAUCAUUCAUGUCCCGAGGUCUCUCUCUCUCUCUCUCUCUUUUUUUAACUAAAUGCCACACUUUAUUUGCAUUUCACCAGCUUGUCCAUUAAUGUUCUCUCUUGUUCCAGGAGCCAGUCUAGAGUAAGGCAUCACACUUAGUUGUUAUGUAUUUCCAGUCUCUCCUGGUCUGUGAUAACUUCUCCAUCAUCCCAUGUUUAUUCGUGACCUUGGC